rnacentral:rRNA from 1 species
UACGUAGGGGGCUAGCGUUGCUCGGAAUUACUGGGCGUAAAGCGCACGUAGGCGGUUUCUUAAGUCGGGGGUGAAAUCCUGGAGCUCAACUCCAGAACUGCCUUCGAUACUGGGAGACUUGAGUCCGGGAGAGGUGAGUGGAACUGCGAGUGUAGAGGUGAAAUUCGUAGAUAUUCGCAAGAACACCAGUGGCGAAGGCGGCUCACUGGCCCGGUACUGACGCUGAGGUGCGAAAGCGUGGGGAGCAAACAGG